CCUUGGUUCUCACGCUUAAGUGGCCCCACACCAAUCCCAUCUCGAACUUGGUUGUUAAAUGCUUAAGGAAAAUCAAUACUAUACGGGAGCCCGUAUGGAAAAGGGUUUUUAGUGCCAGGG
rnacentral:rRNA from 1 species